AGAGUUUGAUCCUGGCUCAGAAUCAACGCUGGCGGCGUGCCUAACACAUGCAAGUCGAACGAGAAAGUGGAGCAAUCCAUGAGUAAAGUGGCGACCGGGUGAGUAACACGUGACUAACCUACCUCCGAGUGGGGAAUAACUCCGGGAAACCGGGGCUAAUACCGCAUAACAUCACAAGAUCAAAGCAGCAAUGCGCUUGGAGAGGGGGUCGCGGCUGAUUAGCUAGUUGGCGGGGUAACGGCCCACCAAGGCGAAGAUCGGUAUCCGGCCUGAGAGGGCGCACGGACACACUGGAACUGAAACACGGUCCAGACUCCUACGGGAGGCAGCAGUGGGGAAUUUUGCGCAAUGGGGGAAACCCUGACGCAGCAACGCCGCGUGGAGGAUGAAGUCCCUUGGGACGUAAACUCCUUUCGACCAAGACGAUAAUGACGGUACUGGUGGAAGAAGCACCGGCUAACUCUGUGCCAGCAGCCGCGGUAAUACAGAGGGUGCGAGCGUUGUUCGGAAUUAUUGGGCGUAAAGGGCGCGUAGGCGGUGCCACAAGUCACCUGUGAAAUCUCCGGGCUUAACUCGGAGUCUGCAGGCGAAACUGUGGUGCUGGAGUGUGGGAGAGGUGCGUGGAAUUCCCGGUGUAGCGGUGAAAUGCGUAGAUAUCGGGAGGAACACCUGUGGCGAAAGCGGCGCACUGGACCAUAACUGACGCUGAGGCGCGAAAGCUAGGGGAGCAAACAGGAUUAGAUACCCUGGUAGUCCUAGCCCUAAACGAUGAUUGCUUGGUGUAGCAGUACCCAAUCCUGCUGUGCCGCAGCUAACGCGAUAAGCAAUCCGCCUGGGGAGUACGGUCGCAAGGCUGAACUCAAAGGAAUUGACGGGGGCCCGCACAAGCGGUGGAGCAUGUGGUUCAAUUCGACGCAACGCGAAGAACCUU
rnacentral:rRNA from 1 species